GGGUCGGUAGCUUAGCUGGUAGAGCACCUCCUUUACACGGAGGGGGUCGUAGGUUCGAGUCCUAUCCGGCCCA
rnacentral:tRNA from 1 species